CCUCUUGAUGACAUCUGCGAGCUCUGGAGGCAUGCUGCCCUCCUCAAUGGAGUCAGACAGGUUCUGGAGCUUCUGACCAUCCUCCUGCAUGAGACAAAGAAAAGGGGCACUGUUAGCCAUCAUGCACUGUUUUGCAGACCUGUGCUGCUGGUGACCCAAAGUUGAUGUCCAGCAUCUCCAUGCCCCUGAUGAUGGCCAGAGCAGAUUGCAGGAUGUUGCCAAAAAUAAUAGAUCGAAACUCCAUUUGUUCUUCUUUUGUAUAACCACCUUGAUGGAGAAUUCUUGGGGGGAGCAACAGAGUGGUUUUGAUUAAUGUUUUGAAGAUUCACCAGCACCUACAAGACGGAAAGAAAAACACGAUGCAGAACAAUGUAUGAGCAACAAAAGAACAAACGAGGAGCCCUCAAAUGGUCUUAAACUGAACUUCAGACAAUCUUCCAGCUACAUUAUAUGUCCCUCUAUGACUUAAAUGUGAAGUUUUGAAAUAGUAUUUUCCUGUAAAACAUACUCCAGCGAUCUUUUGAAUAAUUUUUACAGUGUAUAUGAUGGUUACUGUAGGCCUUACGCAUUCCAUAGUGCCUGAAUUUAGUUAUUUGAAUUGUUUAUUUUCUGCUCUGUGGAUUUGGAUUUUUAAUAAUGAGGUCAAUGUUAAGUGGUAGAUGAUCUGUUAAGAAUAAACUUAUGGAUUGUCAUUGAUGGCCAGGUCAGAGGAAGGCUCUUUAACCUGCUUAUAAAGUGACCCAAUUGGAUUUGUGUUAGGGAAAGCCUCUCAGAAGAUCACCGACACUUUGAUUCGUCUUGGAGCUUCAGUCAGUCCAGGGCAAGGGGGUGGGGCUUAACCGUCUCCCGUGGCAACUGUCACUCUUACCUUCCCUUUACUUCCGAAGUUAACUGUAGCCGUGAAGAGAACUUGCGUCAUCCCUGUUGGUCCAUUUGAAUGCUUAGUUCAGCAACUAGAUUAAAUGAUGCUGUCUACUUCUUAAUUCUCAGGUGUGAACGCAUAUCAGUACCAUUAUUACCACACCCUUUGGCUUUUAUUGUGCAAAAAAAGUCUAAAGUGAUUUGCUAAUUUACUGAGAAAACUCAUUUCGAUAAUUUACUAAACAGAGAUGGAAGAGUAUGUAUCUAUAAUAAGUUUAACUUCUUCCAAUUUAAUAUUUUAAUGUUGUUAUUAUUAUCU